CAGCAGCCGCGGUAAUACGUAGGGCGCGAGCGUUGUCCGGAAUUAUUGGGCGUAAAGGGCUUGUAGGCGGUUGGUCGCGUCUGCCUGAAAUCCUCUGGCUUAACUGGGGGCGUGCGGUGGGUACGGGCUGACUUGAGUGCGGUAGGGGAGACUGGAACUCCUGGUGUAGCGGUGGAAUGCGCAGAUAUCAGGAAGAACACCGGUGGCGAAGGCGGGUCUCUGGGCCGUUACUGACGCUGAGGAGCGAAAGCGUGGGGAGCGAACAGGAUUAGAUACCCUGGUAGUCCACGCUGUAAACGUUGGGCACUAGGUGUGGGGGCCACCCGUGGUUUCUGCGCCGUAGCUAACGCUUUAAGUGCCCCGCCUGGGGAGUACGGCCGCAAGGCUAAAACUCAAAGGAAUUGACGGGGGCCCGCACAAGCGGCGGAGCAUGCGGAUUAAUUCGAUGCAACGCGAAGAACCUUACCAAGGCUUGACAUGCACGGCGGCACUGCAGAGAUGUGGUGGCAUUUAGUUGGUCGUGUGCAGGUGGUGCAUGGUUGUCGUCAGCUCGUGUCGUGAGAUGUUGGGUUAAGUCCCGCAACGAGCGCAACCCUUGCCCUAUGUUGCCAGCACGUGAUGGUGGGGACUCGUGGGGGACUGCCGGGGUUAACUCGGAGGAAGGUGGGGAUGACGUCAAAUCAUCAUGCCCCUUAUGUCUUGGGCUUCACGCAUGCUACAAUGGUUGGUACAGAGGGUUGCGAUAUCGUGAGGUGGAGCGAAUCCCUUAAAGCCAGUCUCAGUUCGGAUUGGGGUCUGCAACUCGACCCCAUGAAGGUGGAGUCGCUAGUAAUCGCAGAUCAGCAACGCUGCGGUGAAUACGUUCUCGGGCCUUGUACACACCGCCCGUCACGUCACGAAAGUUGGUAACACCCGAAGCCCAUGGCCCAACCGGUUUGCCGGGGGGAGUGGUCGAAGGUGGGAUUGGCGAUUGGGACGAAGUCGUAACAAGGUAGCCGU
rnacentral:rRNA from 1 species